UUCCACAUCAUCAGUAGUUCCAUUAGACACUUCUGGUAAAGAGGCGGUCUCAAUUCCAGGGUGAUUAUUCUGCAACUCAUACAAUAUUUGUGCUAAAGAGGCAACUCUUGAUAGUAAUGAGUCUGAAACUACGUAGCCAACAAGUUUUUGCAAAUUUAGCUUCUUCUCAGCAAUACGCCUGUGUUCCUCACCCUCCACCAUUGGCCCACUGAAAAGCCUAUACACACUGAAUGCCACCUCCCUAAACUCCUCUGACACAAUCUCACCCUUCAUCAACUCAACCACCGCGCCUAUAAACUGCUUAUAGGCUUGCCG
rnacentral:misc_RNA from 1 species